rnacentral:rRNA from 1 species
CGAGUGCGUUCAGAGUUUGAUCCUGGCUCAGGACGAACGCUGGCGGCGUGCUUAAUACAUGCAAGUCGAACGGAGCCUAGUCUUUAGUUUACUAUAGGCGAAAGCUUAGUGGCGGACGGGUGAGUAACGCGUGGAGAAUCUGCCCUCAAGCCUGGGAUAACAGAGCGAAAGUUCUGCUAAUACCGGAUAUGCUCUGAGAGCCGCAUGGUUCAAAGAGGAAAGCGCAAGCGCUUGAGGAUGACUCCGCGUCCCAUUAGCUAGUUGGUGAGGUAACGGCUUACCAAGGCGACGAUGGGUAGCCGGCCUGAGAGGGUGACCGGCCACACUGGGACUGAGACACGGCCCAG